AUUGAACGCUGGCGGCAGGCUUAACACAUGCAAGUCGAGCGGAGAUGAGGUGCUUGCACCUUAUCUUAGCGGCGGACGGGUGAGUAAUGCUUAGGAAUCUGCCUAUUAGUGGGGGACAACAUUCCGAAAGGAAUGCUAAUACCGCAUACGCCCUACGGGGGAAAGCAGGGGAUCUUCGGACCUUGCGCUAAUAGAUGAGCCUAAGUCGGAUUAGCUAGUUGGUGGGGUAAAGGCCUACCAAGGCGACGAUCUGUAGCGGGUCUGAGAGGAUGAUCCGCCACACUGGGACUAAGACACGGCCCAGACUCCUACGGGAGGCAGCAGUGGGGAAUAUUGGACAAUGGGCGGAAGCCUGAUCCAGCCAUGCCGCGUGUGUGAAGAAGGCCUUUUGGUUGUAAAGCACUUUAAGUUGGGAGGAAGGGCAGUAAGUUAAUACCUUGCUGUUUUGACGUUACCAACAGAAUAAGCACCGGCUAACUUCGUGCCAGCAGCCGCCGUAAGAC
rnacentral:rRNA from 1 species